UGCCAGAGGGCUUGGGAUUGGGAUUUCCUUAGGUGGUGAAAGCCUGGCAGCCUCUCUCCAUCCCUUACCCACCCCAGCCCCCCUUUUUUCCUCUCCCUGUGGAGAAUAAGCAAAUAUCUUCUGGUCAGCUUAUUUUCCCUUUCAGCAGUAGCUCUAACCGCGGAGGCAGAAAGAUCUUUCUAAAGUAAAAAUGAGAACUUCACACUAUCGCUGAAAAUCCUGCAAUGCUGCCUAUCAUCCCAAGCUUGUACAUUUUUAUGAAAUAACUUGCCAUGCGGGAGAGAUCUACAUGCCAAGGAACUGAGGGUGGCUCCUGGCCAACAGCCAACAAGGAACUGAGAGCCUCAGUGAACUGGAUCCUGCCAACCAUCAUAAUAUACUGAUUCACAACUGAGGAUGCAUGUUAGAACCAUGAGAAGAGCUUAAAAAAAUACCAGGCAGAGACUCAACUAAAAAAGAAAACUUCAGGCCAAUAUCCAUGAUGAAUAUCAAUGCAAAAAUCUUCAAUAAAAUACUGGCAAACUGAUUGCAACAGCACAUCAAAAAGCUUAUCCAUCACAAUCAAGCAGGCUUCAUCCUGGGAAUGAAAGGCUGGUUCAACAUACACAAGUUUAUAAACAUAAUUCACCACAUAAACGGAACCAAAGACAAAAACCACAUGAUUACCUCAAUAGAUGCAGAGAAGGCCUUUGACAAAAUUCAACAGCCCUUCAUGCUAAAAACCCUCAAUAAACUAGGUAUGGACGGAAUGUAUCAUAAAAUGAUAAAAGCCAUUUAUGACAAACCUACAGCCAAUAUCAUACUGAACGGGCAAAAGCUGGAAGAAUUCCCUUUGAAAUCAGGCACCAGACAAGAAUGCCCUCUCUCACAACUCCUAUUCAAUAUAGUAUUGGAAAUUCUAGCCAGAGCAAUCAGGCAAGAAAAAGAAAUAAAGUGUAUUCAGUUAGGAAAGGAGGAAGUCAAACUGUCUCUAUUUGCAGACAACAUGACUGUAUAUUUCGAAGACCCCAAUCGUCUCAGCCCAAAAUCUUCUCAAACUGAUAAGCAACUUCAACAAAGUCUCGGGAUACAAAAUCAAUAUGCAUAAAUCACAAGCAUUUCUAUAUACCAAUAACAGACAAACAGAGAGCCAAAUCAAGAGUGAAUGCCCAUUCACAAUUGCUACAAAGAGAAUAAAAUACCUAGGAAUACCACUAACAAAGGAUGUAAAGGACCUCUUCAAGGAGAACCCACUGCUCAACAAAAUAAGAGUACACAAACAGAUGGAAAAACAUUCCAUGCUCAUGGUUAGAAAGAAUUAAUAUUGUGAAAAUGGCCACACUGCCCAAAGUAAUCUAUAGAUUCAAUGCUGUCCCCAUCAAGCUACCAAUGACCCUUUUUACAGAACUGGAAAAAACUACUUUAAACUUCAAAUGGAAUCACAAGUGAGCCCACAUAGCCAAGACAAUCCUAAGCAAAAAGAACAAAGCCAGAGCAUCACACUGCUGGGCUUCAAACUAUAUUAUAAGACUACAGUAAUCAAAAAUGGCAUGAUACUGGUACCAAAACAGAGGCAUAGACCAAUGGAACAGAACAGAGGCCCCAGAAGCAACACCACACAUCUACAACCAUCUGAUCUUUGACAAACCUGACAAAAAUAAGCAAUGGGGAAUGGACUCCAUGUUUAAUAAAUGGUGUUGGGAAAACUGGCUAGCAAUGUGCAGAAAGCAGAAACUGGACCCCUUCCUGUCACUUUACACUAAAAUUAACUACAGAUGAAUUAAAGAUUUAAACAUAAAACCUAACACCAUAAAAACAUGAGAAGAAAACAUAGGCAAAACCAUCCAGGACAUAGGCAUAGGCUAGGACUUCAUGACUAAAACACCAAAAGCAAUGGCAACAAAAGCCAAGAUAGACAAAUGGAAUCUAAUUAAAAUUGAGAGCUUCUGUACAGCAAAAGAAACCAUCAUUAGAGCAAACUGGUAACCACCAGAAUGGGAAAAAAUUUUUGCAAUCUACCAUCUGACACAGGGCUAAUAUCCAGAAUCUACAAAGAACUACAAGAAAAAAGCAACUGCAUUCAAAAGUGGCAAAGGAUAUGAACAGACACUUCUCAAAAGAAGACAUAUAUGAGGCCAACAAACAUGAAAAAAUGCUCAUCAUCACUGGCCAUUAGAGAAAUGCAAAUCAAAACUACAUUGAGAUACCAUCUCACGCCAGUUAGAAUGGCGAUCAUUAAAAAAUCUGGAGACAACAGAAUGCUGGAGAGGAUGUGGAGAAAUAGGAACAGUUUUACACUGCUGGUGGGAGUGUAAAUUAGUUCAACCAUUGUGGAAAACAGUGUGGCACUUCUUCAAGGACCUAGAAAUAGAAAUUCCAUUUGACUCAGCAACCCCAUUACUGGGUAUAUACCCAAAGAACUAUAAGUUGUUCUACUAUAAAGACACAUGUAUAUGUAUGUUUAUUGCAGCCCUGUGUACAAUAGCAAAGACCUGGAACCAACCCAAAUGCCCAUCAAUGAUAGACUGGACAAAGAAAAUGUGGUACAUAUACACCAUGGAAUAUUAUGCAGCCAUAAAAAACGAUGAGUUCACAUCCUUUGUAGGGACUUGGAUAAAUCUGGAAGCCAUCAUUCUCAGCAAACUGACACAAGAACAGAAAACUAAACACCACAUGUUCUCACUCAUAGGUAGGUGUUGAACAAUGAGAACACGUGGACUCAGGGAGAGGAGCAUCACACACUAGGGGCA